rnacentral:rRNA from 1 species
GACGAACGCUGGCGGCGUGCCUAAUACAUGCAAGUCGAGCGGAACACUUGGAGCUUGCUCCAAGCGUUUAGCGGCGGACGGGUGAGUAACACGUGGGCAACCUGCCCUGCAGAUCGGGAUAACUCCGGGAAACCGGUGCUAAUACCGAAUAGUUUGAGGCCUCUCCUGAGGCUUCACGGAAAGACGGUUUCGGCUGUCACUGCAGGAUGGGCCCGCGGCGCAUUAGCUAGUUGGUGGGGUAACGGCCCACCAAGGCCACGAUGCGUAGCCGACCUGAGAGGGUGACCGGCCACACUGGGACUGAGACACGGCCCAGACUCCUACGGGAGGCAGCAGUAGGGAAUCUUCCGCAAUGGACGCAAGUCUGACGGAGCAACGCCGCGUGAGUGACGAAGGUUUUCGGAUCGUAAAACUCUGUUGUGAGGGAAGAACACGUACCAACUAACUAUUGGUACCUUGACGGUACCUCACCAGAAAGCCACGGCUAACUACGUGCCAGCAGCCGCGGUAAUACG